CAGCCGCCGCGGGAAUACGUAGGGUGCAAGCGUUAAUCGGAAUUACUGGGCGUAAAGCGUGCGCGGGCGGUUCUAUAAGACAGAUGUGAAAUCCCCGGGCUCAACCUGGGAACUGCAUUUGUGACUGUAGAGCUGGAGUGCGGCAGAGGGGGAUGGAAUUCCGCGUGUAGCAGUGAAAUGCGUAGAUAUGCGGAGGAACACCGAUGGCGAAGGCAAUCCCCUGGGCCUGCACUGACGCUCAUGCACGAAAGCGUGGGGAGCAAACAGGAUUAGAUACCCGCGUAGUCCCUGUCUCUUAUAA
rnacentral:rRNA from 1 species